rnacentral:rRNA from 1 species
UAUCUCUGUAGAGUCUGCAUAUCAAUAAGCGGAGGAAAAGAAACUAACAAGGAUUCCCUUAGUAACGGCGAGUGAAGCAGGGAAGAGCUCAAAUUUGAAAUCUUCAAGGUUCUACCUUGACGAAUUGUAGUUUAAAGAAGUGUUUUCUGUUAGAUGAGUAGCAAAAGUUCCUUGGAAUGGGACAUCAUAGAGGGUGAGAAUCCCGUAUUUGGUUAUUCAUUCUAGCUUUGUGAUACACUUUCAAAGAGUCGGAUUGUUUGGGAAUGCAGUCCAAAAUGGGUGGUAAAUUUCAUCUAAAGCUAAAUAUUGGCGAGAGACCGAUAGCGAACAAGUACCGUGAGGGAAAGAUGAAAAGAACUUUGAAAAGAGAGUUAAACAGUACGUGAAAUUGUCAAAAGGGAAGCGUUUGACACCAGUGUUGUUUUUCCGAAAAUCAAUUACGAAUGGCUUGAUUUUGUGUUGUAUUGACCUUAUCAGCUUUCUGCACUUUUUUCGAGUUUUUCUUAAUGCACUUUUUCGGUUAACAAGUCAACAUCAAUUUCUUUUGUUGUAAAAGAGUAUUCGGAAGGUGGCUUUCUUUUCGGAGAAAGUGUUUAUAGCCCUAUACUUCUACAAUCGGAGAGAUUGAGGUCUGCAGCGUAGAUCCUUCGGGGUUAGAUACACUUGUGCUAAGUUGUAGCUUUUCAUAGACAACUUGUUGACUAUGUUUAGUCAUGCGGCUUACUCGCUUGUGCUAUUUUACCUACGCUUAGGAUGUUGACUGAUAUGUAGUCGU